GGAAAAUUAAAGUGGCAAACAUUUUUCAGGCCAACUUCUUUCCCUUUUUUUUUUCUUUCUCUGGUGGGUUUGCUGAUGUCCUCAAGUAGUAGCAACACAUGGAAUAGGAAGAACCUUAAAAGUGUAGUAGGAGGAGUUUCCUUGAUCUGCUCGGCCCGUUUCCCUCUCUUUAAAAUCUUUGGGAUCCCUGAAUUUGAAUUUCAAAAAUCAAUGCCAAAACAUCAGGGAGACAACAGCAGCAGUUCGCAUAGAUAUCCCUCCUUCCUACCACCACGGGAUCAAAACAAUCCAAAUGGGGGUCGUAACUCCUGGAAUUCCACAAGACAUCCCCUCCUAUCAUGUAUAUUUAAAUCUUUUCAACAGACGAAUGCUGACGAUGGCCGCCUAGUUUCACACCUGAUCUUCGCUGCUGGAUGUUUUCCGCUCCUCUAGGCAAAUGCUGACUGGCGGCUGUACACUUCGUAUUGCCCAUUUGUGUGUAUCUAUGCAUCCCACCUUAAGAAAAAGUGUUCCCUAUGCACAAAACGCAGCGUGUGGGUCGACUUGUUUUGUUUCGUUUCGUUUUCCUUUUAUUGUUUGUCCGCUCGAGACCAGUUGACAAGAGAGAUGACAAGUUUUUUCAAGGUUCGAUUCUUAACUCUCUCUCUCUGUCUCUCGGCUGUAUGUAUAUAGAUGCAUGUAUAGCUCUUGGCUAACAACAGGUACGUGUUGUCGAAGAAGGGAUAAUGAGAUUCCGCUCCUAGAUAAGUAGAAUAUAUGCAGGAAUUAGUCAUCGACUUUUCGGACUGCGUGUUUUGGGACCCGGUCGCAGGAGACAAGGGCAGACGAGAGAAGAAUAAGGAAAAACGGACCAGUCGUCACUGCGAAAAGGCGGUUUGACUUUUAUUUUGUACGUUUCUUUUUUCUUUUCUUUAAAGAAUAACAUUGACGGAUGACAGUGUUUCUUCUUCCAUCUACCAUAAGACAACAUGAAGAAGGAGGGGGGAUACACAAACAACUGGAGUGGUGCUUCCCUCCUGCUGUUAACUCUUUUUCCUUCGUUUUAUAACCCAAAACAUUUUUUUUUUUUUUUGGGAACCACUCUGUGAACAUCAAACGUUUUCGAAAAUACAUAUACUUGAUUAUCUUCUU